GUGACGGCAGCCUUGUAUGUUUGAGACAACUUCAAAUCUCCAUACAUUCUGGAUGGAAUAUCCUGAGAUUGCCACAAAAGCACUGAAAAGCCUGCUUCCAUUUCCAGCAUCCUAUAUUUGUGAAGCAGGGUUUUCUGCAGUGACAGCAACCAAAACUAGAUUAUGGAGUAAACUGGACAUAAGCAACACACUUCGGGUGUCACUGUCUCCCAUCACCCCCAGAUGGGAACCGGCUAGUUGC
rnacentral:lncRNA from 1 species